rnacentral:rRNA from 1 species
GAACCUGAAACCGUGUACGUACAAGCAGUGGGAGCACGCUUAGGCGUGUGACUGCGUACCUUUUGUAUAAUGGGUCAGCGACUUAUAUUCUGUAGCAAGGUUAACCGAAUAGGGGAGCCGAAGGGAAACCGAGUCUUAACUGGGCGUUAAGUUGCAGGGUAUAGACCCGAAACCCGGUGAUCUAGCCAUGGGCAGGUUGAAGGUUGGGUAACACUAACUGGAGGACCGAACCGACUAAUGUUGAAAAAUUAGCGGAUGACUUGUGGCUGGGGGUGAAAGGCCAAUCAAACCGGGAGAUAGCUGGUUCUCCCCGAAAGCUAUUUAGGUAGCGCCUCGUGAAUUCAUCUCCGGGGGUAGAGCACUGUUUCGGCAAGGGGGUCAUCCCGACUUACCAACCCGAUGCAAACUGCGAAUACCGGAGAAUGUUAUCACGGGAGACACACGGCGGGUGCUAACGUCCGUCGUGAAGAGGGAAACAACCCAGACCGCCAGCUAAGGUCCCAAAGUCAUGGUUAAGUGGGAAACGAUGUGGGAAGGCCCAGACAGCCAGGAUGUUGGCUUAGAAGCAGCCAUCAUUUAAAGAAAGCGUAAUAGCUCACUGGUCGAGUCGGCCUGCGCGGAAGAUGUAACGGGGCUAAACCAUGCACCGAAGCUGCGGCAGCGACGCUUAUGCGUUGUUGGGUAGGGGAGCGUUCUGUAAGCCUGUGAAGGUGUGCUGUGAGGCAUGCUGGAGGUAUCAGAAGUGCGAAUGCUGACAUAAGUAACGAUAAAGCGGGUGAAAAGCCCGCUCGCCGGAAGACCAAGGGUUCCUGUCCAACGUUAAUCGGGGCAGGGUGAGUCGACCCCUAAGGCGAGGCCGAAAGGCGUAGUCGAUGGGAAACAGGUUAAUAUUCCUGUACUUGGUGUUACUGCGAAGGGGGGACGGAGAAGGCUAUGUUGGCCGGGCGACGGUUGUCCCGGUUUAAGCGUGUAGGCUGGUUUUCCAGGCAAAUCCGGAAAAUCAAGGCUGAGGCGUGAUGACGAGGCACUACGGUGCUGAAGCAACAAAUGCCCUGCUUCCAGGAAAAGCCUCUAAGCAUCAGGUAACAUCAAAUCGUACCCCAAACCGACACAGGUGGUCAGGUAGAGAAUACCAAGGCGCUUGAGAGAACUCGGGUGAAGGAACUAGGCAAAAUGGUGCCGUAACUUCGGGAGAAGGCACGCUGAUAUGUAGGUGAAGUCCCUCGCGGAUGGAGCUGAAAUCAGUCGAAGAUACCAGCUGGCUGCAACUGUUUAUUAAAAACACAGCACUGUGCAAACACGAAAGUGGACGUAUACGGUGUGACGCCUGCCCGGUGCCGGAAGGUUAAUUGAUGGGGUUAGCCGCAAGGCGAAGCUCUUGAUCGAAGCCCCGGUAAACGGCGGCCGUAACUAUAACGGUCCUAAGGUAGCGAAAUUCCUUGUCGGGUAAGUUCCGACCUGCACGAAUGGCGUAAUGAUGGCCAGGCUGUCUCCACCCGAGACUCAGUGAAAUUGAACUCGCUGUGAAGAUGCAGUGUACCCGCGGCAAGACGGAAAGACCCCGUGAACCUUUACUAUAGCUUGACACUGAACAUUGAGCCUUGAUGUGUAGGAUAGGUGGGAGGCUUAGAAGUGUGGACGCCAGUCUGCAUGGAGCCGACCUUGAAAUACCACCCUUUAAUGUUUGAUGUUCUAACGUUGACCCGUAAUCCGGGUUGCGGACAGUGUCUGGUGGGUAGUUUGACUGGGGCGGUCUCCUCCUAAAGAGUAACGGAGGAGCACGAAGGUUGGCUAAUCCUGGUCGGACAUCAGGAGGUUAGUGCAAUGGCAUAAGCCAGCUUGACUGCGAGCGUGACGGCGCGAGCAGGUGCGAAAGCAGGUCAUAGUGAUCCGGUGGUUCUGAAUGGAAGGGCCAUCGCUCAACGGAUAAAAGGUACUCCGGGGAUAACAGGCUGAUACCGCCCAAGAGUUCAUAUCGACGGCGGUGUUUGGCACCUCGAUGUCGGCUCAUCACAUCCUGGGGCUGAAGUAGGUCCCAAGGGUAUGGCUGUUCGCCAUUUAAAGUGGUACGCGAGCUGGGUUUAGAACGUCGUGAGACAGUUCGGUCCCUAUCUGCCGUGGGCGCUGGAGAACUGAGGGGGGCUGCUCCUAGUACGAGAGGACCGGAGUGGACGCAUCACUGGUGUUCGGGUUGUCAUGCCAAUGGCACUGCCCGGUAGCUAAAUGCGGAAGAGAUAAGUGCUGAAAGCAUCUAAGCACGAAACUUGCCCCGAGAUGAGUUCUCCCUGACUCCUUGAGAGUCCUGAAGGAACGUUGAAGACGACGACGUUGAUAGGCCGGGUGUGUAAGCGCAGCGAUGCGUUGAGCUAACCGGUACUAAUGAACCGUGAGGCUUAACCUU